rnacentral:lncRNA from 1 species
GGCUGCGGCUCCGGCUUCUGGCGCUGCUGCUUCUGCUGCUGCCACCGCCCGCGCGCGCCCCGAAGCCCUCGGCGCAGGACGUGAGCCUGGGCGUGGUGAGCGCGGGGUCCGCAGGCUCCUGGGGUCUGCAGGGAGAUUGGGAGAGGGAAGCCGGGCCCGGACUCCUGGGUCCGGAGGAGGCAGGGGCCAGAUUCCAAUAUGCAAAGAGUGACUGAGGAUGGGGUCUGUGCUCCCGGCUUCUUGGGUCUGUCGGGAGGUUUGGGGCUGGGAUUUGGAGCUCUGGAAAGGAGCUGAGGUGCGGAGCUGAAGUCCAGACAAGACUGGCAAACCCGGGACGGAAGCGGGAACCUAUGGAGGGGAGCAGGCAGGCAUCCGGGGCUGGGGCCCUGGACUCUGGGUGCCUGGGAGGGGCAGGGCUGCCAGGAUGGUGGUGGGCAGAGAGAGCCCAUACUUUUCACCCAGCCCGCUUCACCUGUCCACUCCGAUGCCCUAGGACUGGCUAACUCGCUAUGGUUACCUGCCGCCACCCCACCCUGCCCAGGCCCAGCUGCAGAGCCCUGAGAAGUUGCGCGAUGCCAUCAAAGUCAUGCAGAGGUUCGCGGGGCUGCCGGAGACCGGCCGCAUGGGUAGGUGGCCCCCACUCCUCCCCAGCCCUGCCUCUGCACCCAGCCUGACCACCGCCCAACAGCCUUUAGAUCUCAGUGUGCUCCUGGAACACGGAGCUGUGAAGAUGCUGAUCUCAGACCCCAAACCCAGAGGGCCUCAGGCGUUCAUCUUCCAUAAGCAUUUAUCAAGAACCUGGUGGCUCAUGCCUGUAAUCCCAGGGUUUUGGGAGGCGGAGACUCAAGGAUUGCUUCAGGCCAGGAGUUUGAGACCAGCUUGGCCAACAAAGUGAGACCCCCCCACUCUCCAAGGAAUUUUAUUCUCCUGCCUCAGCCUCCUGAGUAGCUGGGAUUACAGGCACGCACCACCACACCAGGCUAAUUUUGUAUUUUUAGUAGAGACGGGGUUUCUCCAUGCUGAUCAGGCUGGUUUCGAACUCCCGGCCUCAGGUGACCCGCCCGCCUUGGCCUCCCAAAGUGCUGGGAUUACAGGUGUGAGCCACCGUGCCCAGUCCUCUAAGGAUUUUUUUAAACUUAGCUGAGUGUAGUGGCAUAGGCCUGUGGUCCCAGCUACUCAGAACGCUGAGAUGGGAAAAUUGCUUAAGCCCAGGAGUUCAAGGCUGCAGUGAGCUGUGAUUGCACCAUUGCACUCCAACCUAGGCAACAGAUGGAGACCCAGUCUCUAACCAAAUAUACUUUGAGCAU